UACGAAGGGGGCUAGCGUUGCUCGGAAUCACUGGGCGUAAAGCGCACGUAGGCGGCUUUCUAAGUCAGGGGUGAAAUCCUGGAGCUCAACUCCAGAACUGCCUUUGAUACUGGAGAGCUAGAGUCCGGAAGAGGUGAGUGGAACUGCGAGUGUAGAGGUGAAAAUUCGUAGAUAUUCGCAAGAACACCGGUGGCGAAGGCGGCCAACUGGUCCGAUACUGACGCUGAGGCGCGAAAGCGUGGGGAGCAAACAG
rnacentral:rRNA from 1 species